GCCCUUGUAGCUCAAUGGUUGAGCAUCUUCAUGGUAAGAAGAAGGAUAUGAGUUCAAUUCUCAUUAAGGGCU
rnacentral:tRNA from 1 species